UACGUAGGGUGCAAGCGUUAAUCGGAAUUACUGGGCGUAAAGCGUGCGUAGGUGGUUCGUUAAGUCCGAUGUGAAAGCCCUGGGCUCAACCUGGGAAUGGCAUGGGAUACUGGCGGGCUAGAGUGCGGUAGAGGGUGGCGGAAUUCCCGGUGUAGCAGUGAAAUGCGUAGAUAUCGGGAGGAACAUCUGUGGCGAAGGCGGCCACCUGGACCAGCACUGACACUGAGGCACGAAAGCGUGGGGAGCAAACAGG
rnacentral:rRNA from 1 species